ACCUGAAACUGCCUGGGUGGACCAAGAGUGGAGGGGGCCGUCCUGCUGGGCCCAGGGGAGGGGGCCAUCAGGGGAAGGCCCUUUCUGUCUCUGGGGACUGGAACUUCCGCUUUGGCCUGAGAGCAGCAGGCGCCUAGGUCCUCGUCCCACUGCUGCCCAGCCCAGCGGCAUCACCGGACACCAGGUUCCCAGGUGGAGUGGCGAGCAGUUAAUAGUUAGCCCUGAGUGAAGCGAACCCUGUUUGUCAAGGAGGGGGUGGGACCACACACCCCAUGAGAGACCGCGUUCCUCUCAGACUCCAUCUCACUGAAUCCUCCGCCCUGACAGGUCCUACCUCAUCCGUCCUCCCACCAAUCCUACAUGCCAGAGGUUAGUAUUAUCCCCAUUUCGUGGAAGGGGAAACACGCCAGAGAGAAGCCAUUUGCCUGAGGCCCUUACCUGGGAGAGGCAGAGGACUG